rnacentral:rRNA from 1 species
UCAGAACGAACGCUGGCGGCAGGCUUAACACAUGCAAGUCGAGCGCCCCGCAAGGGGAGCGGCAGACGGGUGAGUAACGCGUGGGAACGUACCCUUUGCUACGGAAUAGCUCCGGGAAACUGGAAUUAAUACCGUAUGUGCCCUUCGGGGGAAAGAUUUAUCGGCAAAGGAUCGGCCCGCGUUGGAUUAGCUAGUUGGUGGGGUAAAGGCCUACCAAGGCGACGAUCCAUAGCUGGUCUGAGAGGAUGAUCAGCCACAUUGGGACUGAGACACGGCCCAAACUCCUACGGGAGGCAGCAGUGGGGAAUAUUGGACAAUGGGCGCAAGCCUGAUCCAGCCAUGCCGCGUGAGUGAUGAAGGCCCUAGGGUUGUAAAGCUCUUUCACCGGAGAAGAUAAUGACGGUUCCGAGAAGA